rnacentral:rRNA from 1 species
ACGGGAGGCAGCAGUGGGGAAUAUUGGGCAAUGGGGGAAACCCUGACCUAGCAACGCCGCGUGAAGGAAGAAGGCCUUCGGGUUGUAAACUUCUUUUACCAGGGACGAACACAAUGACGGUACCUGGAGAAAAAGCAACGGCUAACUACGUGCCAGCAGCCGCGGUAAUACGUAGGUUGCAAGCGUUGUCCGGAUUUACUGGGUGUAAAGGGCGUGUAGGCGGAGCUGCAAGUCAGAUGUGAAAUCCCGGGGCUCAACCCCGGAACUGCAUUUGAAACUGUAGCCCUUGAGUAUCGGAGAGGCAAGCGGAAUUCCUAGUGUAGCGGUGAAAUGCGUAGAUAUUAGGAGGAACACCGGUGGCGAAGGCGGCUUACUGGACAGCAACUGACGUUGAGGCUCGAAAGCGUGGGGAGCAAACAGGAUUAGAUACCCUGGUA